AGAGUUUGAUCAUGGCUCAGGACUAACGCUGGCGGCGUGCCUAACACAUGCAAGUCGUACGGGGCGAGGUCUUCGGACCUCGUUCAGUGGCAGACGGGUGAGUAACACGUAGGUAAUGUACCCUCUCGCUGGGGAUACCUGCCCGAAAGGGCAGUUAAUACCGAAUGAGCCGUUCCUGGGGCAUCUUGGGAACCGCAAACCAGAAAUGGGCGAGGGGAUCAGCCUGCGGACCAUCAGCUAGUAGGUGGGGUAACGGCCUACCUAGGCGACGACGGUUAGCCGGUCUGAGAGGACGAUCGGCCACACUGGGACUGAGACACGGCCCAGACUCCUACGGGAGGCAGCAGUGAGGAAUCUUGCGCAAUGGGCGAAAGCCUGACGCAGCGACGCCGCGUGAGGGACGAAGGCCUUCGGGUUGUAAACCUCUGUCAGUGGGGAAGAGAACGGACGGUACCCACUGAGGAAGCAUCGGCUUACUACGUGCCAGCCGCCGCGGUAAUAC
rnacentral:rRNA from 1 species